rnacentral:rRNA from 1 species
CAUGCAGUCGUGCGAGAAGUGUUUUUUGCUUGCAUUGAACACGGACAGCGGCGAAAGGGAGAGUAACGCGUGGUUACGUGCCCCGAGGACCAGGAUAGCGUUGGGAAACUGGCGGUAAUACUGGAUGAUAUCUAAGGAUCAAAGGUGAGAUUCCGCCUCGGGAUCGGACCGCGUACUAUUAGCUUGUUGGUGGGGUAACGGCCUACCAAGGCAGCGAUGGUUACCGGGUGUGAGAGCAUGGCCCGGCUCACUGGGACUGAGACACUGCCCAGACACCUACGGGUGGCUGCAGUCGAGAAUCUUCGGCAAUGGACGCAAGUCUGACCGAGCGACGCCGCGUGCGGGAUGAAGGCCUUCGGGUUGUAAACCGCUGUCAGUUGGGAGGAAAGAACUGUGAAGAGCAGUUUUUGACCGAUCUUCAGAGGAAGGGCGGGCUAAGUUCGUGCCAGCAGCCGCGGUAAGACGAACCGCCCAAACGUUAUUCGGUAUCACUGGGCUUAAAGCGUGCGUAGGCGGCCUAGUAGGUGUGAUGUGAAAGCCCACGGCUCAACCGUGGAACUGCGUCGCAAACCACUAGGCUUGAGGAAGACAGGGGUGUUGGGAACUUAUGGUGGAGCGGUGAAAUGCGUUGAUAUCAUAGGGAACACCGGUGGCGAAGGCGCAACACUGGGUCUUUUCUGACGCUGAGGCACGAAAGCUAGGGUAGCGAACGGGAUUAGAUACCCCGGUAGUCCUAGCCGUAAACGAUGAGCACUG